GAAAGCCGUGUGCAAUGAAAAAUGCAAGCAUGGUUUGGGGAUGAAUUUUUUUUACGUAUUUUAACAAAUAAAUUAUCUACUCCAU
rnacentral:ncRNA from 1 species